GUGAACGCUGGCGGUAGGCCUAACACAUGCAAGUCGAACGGCAGCACAGUAAGAGCUUGCUCUUACGGGUGGCGAGUGGCGGACGGGUGAGGAAUACAUCGGAAUCUACUUUUUCGUGGGGGAUAACGUAGGGAAACUUACGCUAAUACCGCAUACGACCUACGGGUGAAAGCAGGGGAUCUUCGGACCUUGCGCGAUUGAAUGAGCCGAUGUCGGAUUAGCUAGUUGGCGGGGUAAAGGCCCACCAAGGCGACGAUCCGUAGCUGGUCUGAGAGGAUGAUCAGCCACACUGGAACUGAGACACGGUCCAGACUCCUACGGGAGGCAGCAGUGGGGAAUAUUGGACAAUGGGCGCAAGCCUGAUCCAGCCAUACCGCGUGGGUGAAGAAGGCCUUCGGGUUGUAAAGCCCUUUUGUUGGGAAAGAAAAGCAGCAGGUUAAUACCCCGCUAUUCUGACGGUACCCAAAGAAUAAGCACCGGCUAACUUCGUG
rnacentral:rRNA from 1 species